rnacentral:lncRNA from 1 species
AGAAGUGCCAACACUUCCCAAACCUCAUGAGUUGCCACCAUUGCCGGAAAUCCCUGAAUUGCCCAAGUUUGAGUCGCCUAAGAUCCCUGCACUCCCGAAACCUGAGCUACCUAAGGUCCCUGAACUGUCUAAGCCUGACAUGUCUAAAGUUCCUGAGUUGCCUAAAGUCCCAGAAAGGCUUAAAGUACCCGAGAUAUCUAAGAUCCUUGAAUUGUCUAAGCCCGAGUUGCCUAAAGGACCAGAAUUACUUAAGCCUGAGUUACCUAGUGUACCUAAUAUCCCUAAGGUUCCUGAAUUGCCUAAACCAGAGUUGCCUGAAGUCCCAAAGUUGCCUAAGCCUGAGUUGCCAAAAGUACCAGAAUUGCCUAAACCUGAGUUACCUAAAGUACCUGAGAUCCCUGAAUUGCCUAAUCUCGAGUUGCCUAAAGUAACACAAUUGCCUAAGUCUAAGUUACCAAAAGUACCUGAGAUCCCUAAGGUCCCUGAAUUUCCUAAGCCCGAGUUGCCUAAAGUUCCUGAAUUGUCUAAGCCAGAGUUACCAAAAGCACCUGAGAUUCCUAAGGUCCCUGAAUUUCCUAAGCCCGAGUUGCCUAAAGUUCCUGAAUUGUCUAAGCCAGAGUUACCAAAAGCACCUGAGAUCCCUAAGGUCCCUGAAUUUCCUAAGCCCGAGUUGCCUAAAGUUCCUGAAUUGCCUAAGCCAGAGUUACCAAAAAUACCUGAAAUCCCUAAGGUCCCUGAAUUUCCUAAGCCAGAGUUGCCUAAAGUUCCUGAAGUGCCUAAGCCAGAGUUGUCAAAAGUACCAAAGCUACCUAAGUCUGAGUUACCUAAAGUACCUGAGAUUCCUGAAUUGCCUAAGUCCGAGUUGC